UUUCUUAAAACAUGAAUCCUUGUUUCAUGGGAAAGUGGUUGAGAAGUGAUGUAAAGUUUUUCAAGACUAACAAAGAUCUCACACCUUUUCCUUUACCUUUUUGGAUCUAACUUUCACUUUAUUUUAACAAGGUAUGAAGGUUGGGAAGAACAUCAAGAAUACUUCAACAAUCACCAAGAAAAAUCAACAACAACCACCAAGAUCCACAACACAACCACAUGGCCCAACUCCACUACAACACUAUUUCACACGGCCAAGACUACAAAACCACCCACAAAUCGCCUAGUCUUUGUGUUGUGUUUCGAUUUUAGCAAGAGAGGAAGGUUGUGAUGAACAACAAGAACAUAACAACCUUUCAAGAUCUACAACAACAACACCAACGUCCAACUAAAUCCACAACACCACACGACCACAACAAUGUUCACAACAACAAUCUCAACAAUUCAAGCUCAAUUUUAGAUCCAAGACUCAAUAGUGUUAGAGAAGAAAGAAAGCUAACACUAAAAACAACAAAGCAAACAAGAGAACACUUAGAUCUAGUGUAAUAUUUCAAUUUAUUAUUAUUUUUUUAUGAAGAGUUAAUUGGUAAUUAUAACCAAUAAUUGAUAUUAAUUAAGGAAUUAAAAAAGAGCAAGCCAAAGGUCUAAUCUUUUUCUUCAGUUUCACGAUUGAAACACUACAAAUAGACCUCUAGGGCUGUUUCUUUUUAUCCCAUUAUUCUGGAGAAGGAAGCAAAGCAACAUAGAAAGGUAGCUUGAUAGAGAUUAACUGUCAGGUAUGAGAUUUUCUCUAUCUUUCGCCUAAAUUAAUUUUAUAUGGUGGUAACGUUCUUGUUGGGAAAAAGAAAAGGAGAGAAAAAAAGAAAAGCUGCCAUGUAUGAUCGAGAGAUAUUGGACAUAAUUUGUAAAUUGGAGAUCUCAUAGGUGGGUGGCUGCUACUGUAGUGAAAGAAUUAACAUUGGCUAAUGCUAAUUAGGCAGUGGGAAAAAUACAUAGAAAGAAAGGAAUCAAAGUAUGUAACUUCGGGCACAAUGUAUAUUUUCUUUACACAUGUUGUUUCAAUUUUCUGUUGUUAACACUUCAAGCAAAUCAUUAGGGAAUAUUCAUGAUGAGGCAAUCAUUAGAUAUUGAUGAGAGAAAUCAUUGGCUAGUAUUUUGAAAUUCUUUGUUUGGCAGCCUUCCCUUGUUAGGUUAUCCUUAAUUCAUGGGUUAAGGUGUGAGAUAUUAAGAUUUAAGUCUAAAUUUAAAAGUUAGCGAUGUUGAGACUUGACCUCGAAUAAUAGAAUUGAUAUUAUUAUUUAAUAUUGUUGCGUAGAUUGAAGCCAUUGGAGGCUAGUUAAUUGGUGUUCUAUGCAUAGUGAGGUUGGAGAACUUGUUAGCAAGAUACUGUUGCAGAGAGAGAGAUUAGUGGCUGACGGUUCUUACGCGCGAAUUCCAUUCCUGAGGUGAACCUUCCCAAUUGGUCGUGAAGGAUAUCAUUCAGCGUUAGAUCUUUUAGAUUACAUUUCUUUUCGUUGGGUUUGCAUGCCUGAAUGUUGAAAACUCUGUUUAGAUGCUUCACGAACUUAGAAUGGGACUUGGGUUAGAGAUUUGAUAUCUAAACUACUGCCAUUUUCAUAAAACUCUAAGUGGUAUCUUGUUGGAUAGUUAUUUUGUGUUAAUGAUUAUUUUAUGCGUGUGGGGUUGUAUA